GGGGGAAUAGCUCAGUGGUAGGGCACAUGCUUAGCAUGCACGAGGUCCUGGGUUCAAUCCCCAGUAUCUCCA
rnacentral:tRNA from 1 species